UACGAAGGGGGCUAGCGUUGUUCGGAAUUACUGGGCGUAAAGCGCACGUAGGCGGACUAUUAAGUCAGGGGUGAAAUCCCGGGGCUCAACCCCGGAACUGCCUUUGAUACUGGUAGUCUCGAGUCCGGAAGAGGUGAGUGGAACUGCGAGUGUAGAGGUGAAAUUCGUAGAUAUUCGCAAGAACACCAGUGGCGAAGGCGGCUUACUGGUCCGGUUCUGACGCUGAGGCGCGAAAGCGUGGGGAGCAAACAGG
rnacentral:rRNA from 1 species